rnacentral:pre_miRNA from 1 species
GGCGCAAACUUGAAGUGGAGUUCAUUAGUAUGGUCAGCUGAUCCUGCCAAUCUACUCUACUUCAAAGUUGGGCCC